AGCAACACACGUAAUUUAGCCCGGCAGCCGUUUGUAAAACCCCGUUCCUAGUAUGUGAAUCUUAUCCUUAAAACUACACUACUAGUACUCCUCCGGAUAAACAUUAGACUGCCCUAUAUUUUCCAUUGAUAUUAUCGGCACUGGACUGGAUUUUGUUACGUGUGGCAGAGAGCUUGUUUCCAAAGGUUUUACAUUCAUAAUACCCCACUUAUCAAACGGUUCAUGCCAGAUCUAUUUUUAUAUAUACGCAUCAAUCCUGAUGAUGAUGAUCUUGCUCGGCCAGCAUAAGUCCUCAACGGUCCACAUGACCUCCAAAUGGAAACACAUAUGGUCCUAAAACAUACAAGUAAAGCUGAAAAGUUGUAGAGAGGGUGUGUUCUUUUGGGCAUCAGAAACGAGGGAGUUUAAAGGGGCUGAGAGAAGAGGUUAGAGAGUAAGUGAAGGCAAAGAAAAGACUGAUGGAGGGGUGAUGGGGUGGGUUAGAGUAGAGGGGUUUCAUCAGAAACGAGGGAGAGGGGAAGAAUAACUAUGAUGAUCCUUUUCUUUGAUCCUUCUAAAUAUGCCCCCCUUCUCCCUCCCCUAUAUGAAUAGGAAUGAACUAUCUAUCCAAUCUGCUUUUCUUUAUUUUUAUUUUUAUUUUUUUAGUCUCAGAAUGAAAGAAACCACCUCCCCUUUCCUCUCUUCUUCUCUCCUAUCCUUCUGCAGUACUUUUGCUUCUCGUCAGUAUCAAAUAUCAUCAAUUCAUUAAUUAAUUACACCUACAUAGCCCACAAACCCCCCCUUCUCGCUCGCCUAUUUACUGUACUCCUUCCCAUCAGAUCUUAAAUAGAGCCCCCGUCUUCCCCCCUUCUCUCCAAUCUUCCCCUCCCAUAGCUUUAUUACUUUCGCUCUACUCUAUGUCCUUCCGUGGUUCUUCGAAGGGUGAAUACGAAGGUCUGUUUUCUGACUUCAUCUGGGUUUGAUAAAGGGUUUCUCACAGAGUUUAUUGGCAUUCUGUCCACCUCCCAUUAUUAAAAACAAAAAAAUAAAUAAAUAAAUCUCUCUCUCAUUGUCUCUCUCAAAUAUGCUAUGGAGGUGGGCAUACUGCCAACUGAGUUCUGUUGGCUUCUCUUUGUAAAACCCUCGUGAUGUAAUCUUCCAGUAUGCAAUAUUUCUAUAUAUGCACCUUUUCUCAGCUCUGAUGGAAAUCAAGGUAAAAGUACCCCAUGACUAGUUGUUAAUACGUUCUUCUUCUUCUAUUGUUCAGUUACUUACUUGUAUGGUUCCCUACUGAUUUUCAAGUAAUCAUUCAGUGGCAGUUUCUGGACCUCGUGCUUGUCUGUCAAAAGUACCCACCCCCAAAACUUUACUAUUAUUUUUCUGUAAGAAACCUACAAGAGUUUUUAUCAUUUUCCUCCUCUUCCAUCCGUUUUUCUUUUGCAGGGUCUAAUUGUUAUCAAUGGAGGAAUCAUGCAGUAGGCUGUAUUGUACAUGAAGUUUUUGUUUGUUCGUUUCAAAUCUUGUGGAUAUUUUCGGCAAUCGCUAAUUGGGAACCCUAGCUAACUGGCUUUUUAAUUUAUCUUUUCAUCAUUUUGUCAUCUCACAUCUGCCAGAGAUCUUCAUUUACCUUUUUUUUUCUUCUCUUUUUUAUAUCUUACUAGCUCAUGUUAUAUCACACUUCAUUAUUUUGUUGUGCAGGUUUUACAUCUAGUGUAGGGUUUUAAGUCUUAUUUCUUUUGCAUCUAAACCAGGAACAACAGGGAGGGGCUGUAUUUAUGGGCUGAAUUGGGGGUAGAACAAUUGAGAAGAAAACCAUAAUGUGUCAGAAUUGUUAAGUACAAUCCAAUCCAUUGAAGGGCCUUGGAUUUGAACUUUUCUGUGUAAAGAUCUUCUAUGGGAGGUUAUACAAUGCAUAUAUUUAUGUAAUAAUAUUAAAAUAACUGUGAUUUAUUAUUAGAUAUUACAACAAAAGGAGAAGAUUUCCAUGGUGUUCAUGCCUUCAUGCAUGUCUACCACCAUUGAGUUAA